UUACAUUUUGGUGGACAUCUAUGUCUUAUAAUAGAGUUGUAUCUUAUUAGUCACAUGGCAUAAUAAGGUUGCAUUUGAUUGGUUAAUUCUUGGUACCAGAAAUCCUUACAUACAAGUAUAGGUAGCUGCUUUUUUUAAAAGUCACUUUGGAGCAAAAAAGGU